rnacentral:lncRNA from 1 species
CCUGCCUGCAGGCAGCUGAGGAGAACAGGCCUACACAGAGUCCCACCUCCUCCUCCCUACUAUCUGGCCUGUCCAGUCUGGAGAUGUCCCCAGUUCGUUGGUGAAUUUAUUUAGGCUCAAAUGGCCUUUCCAUGGUCACAAAGCCAGCUGAACGAGGAGGAAAGAACCCAGGUUCACCGCAGGGUUCAGAAGGCAGCAAGGGCUGCAGCAGCCCAGCAGGGGACUGCUGAACAUGGCAGUGCUCAGGCCCCUGUCACCCACGUGUGCCUUAGACCCGCCCCUGUGAAGCCCCGCCCCCUGCGUACAGACUGUGGUUUCCAGGGCCACAUAAACAAGCCAGUUCUUUUUCCCUUAGUUCAUUCAUUAAUUCCUUUAAUGUCUGUAAUUGUAGCACACGUUUUGUCCUUUGUCAGCCUUCAUUACAGUGAGGUUUACAUUUGGUAGUUUUUUUAUUCUUUGUUUUGACCUUUAUUUUGGUAGCAGACAGUUUUUUUUCAGUCAAAAUUAGAGUGACCUUUAUUAACAGAAAAAAAUAGGUCAUAAUCCCAUCACAGAUUAUUGCAUUUCCCACGGAAUUUUCUGUUGAGUCCAUUAUAUCAAAAAAACCCAAUGAUUGUUGAGGGAAACACUUCCUUGAAUACUCCCAUCGAAAGCCUGUUGCCCAUGAUUUGAUGAAUUGACGUUCAUCAGAGAGAAAGACGUUCUGAGAACGAAGGAGGCAAGGCAAGGUGUGACAUAUCAGUGUUAGACUCAAGUCUUAGCUGCUACAGCUUUGCCUGCUUAAUGCUUGGACUGUCUGUGAGUAAAAACCCAGAGAAAGACAGCUGCCAACUGAGUUAUUGACAAUUCAGCCACUGGAAAAAUGAGCCCUGCUGGACACAUCCCAGAGAAAGCUGUACAGAGAUGUGAUGCUGGGAAAUAUCAGUCAUCUGGUCUCCAUGGACUGAAGAUUCUGCAUUCUGUCCUUGAACUUGGGCAUGGACAUCAGCAUCCAGAGGUCCUCAAAAUUUUGGACAAACAAUCCAGAUUUCUUCCUUGUCUGGUGAAGGACCUUCAGUGUUUUCCCUGUUCAGGGUGUUGUUGCCUGAGCUGAACUUCAGUGUUCUCCUCAUUCUUCCUCAGUAGCCUGUCCUGGACUUGAUGAUAAUGCAGGUUAUUAUCAUGGAACUCAAAAUCCACCUGCCUUUGUUGCAUGAACAGGGUAUCAGCAUUGCAAAUCAGAUGUGAUUUUCCAGUUGGAGCAAGAAGAGCUGUGGAGUGAAGGAACAGGAUUUUUCCAAGGCCAGAGUCCAGGCAGGGAGAGUGGCCGUAAAGAACAAGAAAUGAUAGACACACAGCUUAUCAGCAAGGACACAUCUGCAAACACACCAAUGAUCCAGCGGGCAGGGGAGUCCCUUUCAUCCUGGCUGCCUCUGCCCUGUUCCUCACAUGCAUGGAGAAGCCGCGGAGAAGCUCCCAGGACAAGGGACACACAAAGCAGCCACAGCCGGGCCAUGUUGCUGGAACAUUAAGAAAACUCUUUCUUGUGUUAACUGUCUCCACAGGAUGGGGUAGAGAGCUGGGAGAGAGCCAGUCCACCGAUAACCUCUUGGCAGGGCUUCAUCUAGAAGCACCCUCAUCUCUGCUCCCCUUCCCAGGACUUUGCUUCCACUUUUAAGACAGUUCAAGAAAAUCAGUAGAACACCUGCAAAGACCAGUCCUGGGUUGUUUGCAGCUUCCUUGAAAACAGUCCCCUAACUGGAGACCAAGUCUGGGCUGCUGAAGAUGGAAGGAGGAGUGCACUGCUCUCCUUGGACUGUGAGAGAGGCUCUGAGUGGGUGGAAUUGUGGGGAGAAGACAGGAGCAGCGGCUGAAAGGCAGGAGACAUUGAGUGUAUGUGAAUGACAGUGCAUGGCCUGGGUCAGGAGGAUCCCGGAGGUUACAUGUCAGGUCGUGGUGAUGCCCAGGAAGAACAUGCUCCUGCAGGCAAUAGGGAGCCAGUGCAGAUAUGGGAGGAGGGAGCUGCUCGAAGAGGAGUGAUGUUAGAGACUCCUGGGGAUCUGUAGAUUUCUUCCCCCAUCACGGGUAGGUGAGCAGCUGUCCCUGCCUGAACGCCCCUCCCUGCUGAUGGAGCUGCCUCCCCUGCCCUCAGAUACACCUCCCCCGCUUCAGACUGGGAUCCCGCUUCACCCUUCAUCUGGCAGAACGUCCACGGCUGUUGUUGCCUUCACAUCAUUUGCUAGGUAGUCGGAACAGGCGACACAGAACACAGAUCUGGUUACUCAGCAGCACUUUCUCCAGGGCGGUCCUCUGAGUAGCUGCAGAAGCAUCUGACCGCCACUGGCUGACAUUACAGCUGACCCAUUUUAGACCCUUUCUCACAGAAAGAGGAAGGAAAGAGCAGAAAAAAGAAAACAACGUGAGUCCAGUCCACUCUCCCAGAGCCUUGCUGCAGCUUCCGGGGAGCUGGGAGCGCGUCUCUGCGCUGAAGAGCAAGGCCUGUCCUGCGGCUGCUGCUCUGGUCCAUCCUGCCCUGGGGUCUGCACAGGGGGUCCGCACAGCAGGUUCCAGGAGUGGCCUGGCCCUGCAGGGGGGCUAGUCCUCCAGAGCGGGGGGGAACACCAGUCCUUGGUGGGAGCUUUGGGGAGGUGGGAGGUGGGAGCCCCAGUCACUGUGGGACCCCAGCGGGGGUGAGGGUCCUGGCAGGGAAUGCACCAAUGAGUGUCUCCAUGAGGCCCGUUAGGCUGGGGCCUGGAACCUGCAUCUUAAUCCUCAGGGAGAGAGUGGGGUUGGGGCUGUGCACUGGGGGGUCCCCGUGGGUUUCUCACUUCCUCCCCCGACUCUGGGUAAGAAUAGGGGUGUUUAGAGCCCCUCACCAGUACAAGCCCCUCACUCCAGCGUCUCUGGAAGACCCUCGGGCUAAGGGAUCCGGUCAGCAAGCCCCACCCCCUCCUCAGGGCGCCCUCAUGGAACUGGAGGGAGGGGGAGGUUGGGGCAGGAGUUGGUGGGAGGCACGCCAGAGGGCAGGUGGGACCCUUGGAACGCACCCCGGAGGGGACCAGGGCCUCUGACAGCCUUUCUAAACUGAAAGGGAGCCACGGGGCUGCACCUCUGGGGUCGCUGUCAGUUCUUUACCUGGUGAGAACCGGGCAGCCGGGGCCCUCUUGUCACCGUGUCCCCUUCCGCGGCGCUGGGAGCCCCACCUGCCUGGGGGCGAGCAGCUCGCGGUUCCUAUUUGAUAAUGAUGACCAUGUCCCUUAUUCCUUUAAGGGUUAACGAUUGGCGAGCAUCUAGUUCAGAUGCAGUUUAAGCAAGGGAUAAUCAGUUUUUAAAUUAUUUAAUGACAAAUAUUUAAAUCAAGUGUUAAUAACUCAACUCAUUAUGAAUUUAAUAGUUACAAUAGUAAUACCUAAAAAACGGGAAAUUCUCUCAUUUUACCACGUUUUCUCUCUCGAGCCAUUUCCGUGGAAAGGACAGGAAGGCGAGCCAGCGCGCAGAGCGUUCCCGCCUCCACGUCUGAGCGGAUCCAGGAGCAGCAACAAUGAUGAGGUCGGAUGCUCCCGCGAUGCCCUGGUCACCGCCCUCCUUUCCGAGGGGCUUUGUGAAGUGGGGGCCUCGACCCGGAGGAAGCCUCCUCCCAGGGCUCCGGCCGCACCUGCGGGCUCCGCGGGGACGACCCCGUUGCCCACACACAACCCCUCCACGGUCCUUUG